UACGGGGGGGGCAAGCGUUGUUCGGAAUUACUGGGCGUAAAGGGCUCGUAGGCGGCCAACUAAGUCAUACGUGAAAUCCCUCGGCUUAACCGGGGAACUGCGUCUGAUACUGGAUGGCUUGAGAUUGGGAGAGGGAUGCGGAAUUCCAGGUGUAGCGGUGAAAUGCGUAGAUAUCUGGAGGAACACCGGUGGCGAAGGCAGCUCGCUGGGACGGUACUGACGCUGAGGCGCGAAAGCGUGGGGAGCGAACAGG
rnacentral:rRNA from 1 species